UCUUAUCCCAGAAAACAGGAACAGCAAACAACACCUAAACUAACUUCUAACAGGACUACACUUACCCAGGACAAAGAAAACUGGGAGUGGGAAAGAGGACUCAGCCAUUGCUCUUUUGUCCUAGAAAGAUAGUCUGAUUUUUGCAACACUUCAGCCUGCAGCUUCCACUCCACCCUUUGGAACGUUUUCCCCCCAGAAAUGUGGCUAGCCCCUUCUCUUCCAGCUUUCUGGAAAGAACUGAAGACCUGGUUUUGCCAGCUUGCGUGGGGCUUGAGGUCAUCAACUAUUGAUGGCCACAUUGAAUCUUGAUCUUUUGGGAGUUCUGGCUUCCCUCAUUCCUUGUUUUCCAUACCAACAGUCCAACAUCCUGGUGAAAAUCUUUGGAGAACUCUAAAAGUUCUUGCACAGGACACACUAUCUUGUGGCACAUCCUAAUGAAAGGGUCACCAAAUUGUGGGUGUUCAGAUUUUUUUU